UCAGACGAUGCGUCAUGCAUAUCAAUAAGCGGAGGAAAAGAAACUAACAAGGAUUCCCCUAGUAACGGCGAGUGAAGCGGGAAGAGCUCAAAUUUGAAAUCUUAAAGGGUUUCCCUUUACGAAUUGUAGUUUAAAGAAGUGUUUUCUGUUGAGGUUUUGGUAAAAGUUCUUUGGAAUAGGACAUCAUAGAGGGUGAGAAUCCCGUAUUUGACCUUUACUUUCAACUUUGUGAUACACUUUCAAAGAGUCGGAUUGUUUGGGAAUGCAGUCCAAAAUGGGUGGUAAAUUUCAUCUAAAGCUAAAUAUUGGCGAGAGACCGAUAGCGAACAAGUACCGUGAGGCAAAGAUGAAAAGAACUUUGAAAAGAGAGUUAAACAGUACGUGAAAUUGUCAAAAGGGAAGCGUUCGACACCAGUGUUGUUUUUCUGAAAAUCAAUUAAAGAACUGUUUAUGCUAAGCUGUUUAGACUUUAUCAGCUAAUCUGUUUAGUUUUGAGCUUUUCUUUAAUGCACUUUUCAGUUAACAAGUCAACAUCAAUUUCUUUUGCUGUAAAAAAGCUUGAGGAAGGUGGCUUGAGAUUCGUCUUAAGUGUUUAUAGCCUCUUGCCUAUGCAGUCGGAGAGAUUGAGGUCUGCAGCGUAGAUCCUUCGGGGCUAAAUGCAUUUGUGCUAAGUUAUAGCAUUUUAUAGACAACUUGUUGACUAUGAUUUGUCUUGUAGCUUACUCGCUUAUGUUAUUUUACCUACGCUUAGGAUGUUGAAGAUGUAGCACAUCAU
rnacentral:rRNA from 1 species